rnacentral:rRNA from 1 species
GGUGAAUCAUGAUAACUCCACGAAUCGCAUGGCCCWGCGCCGGCGAUGUUUCAUUCAAAUUUCUGCCCUAUCAACUUUCGAYGGUARGRUAWWGGCYUACCRUGGUGGUAACGGGURACGGRGRAUUAGGGUUCKAUUCCGGAGAGGGAGCCUGAGAAACGGCUACCACAUCCAAGGAAGGCAGCAGGCGCGCAAAUUACCCAAUCYUGACACARGGAGGUAGUGACAAUAAAUAACAAUACCGGGGUUUUUCAACUCUGGUAAUUGGAAUGAGUACAAUCUAAAUCCCU